UCAGUAUUAAAAAUAAUACACGCUGGAACCAACAGGAGCAGCAGCAGCAGGAGGAGGAGGAGAGGAGAAUGGCGCAGCGGUGAAGCCCUGAUUAUGCAUAGAGAGACGUCUGGAGCAGCCUCCUCUAACCUGUUCUCUUCUCCGUGCAGCGCUGCAGGCCGGCCGUCCUCAGCCACAGAACCGGAGCAGCAGAAACCUCUUCUCACUGCCUAACAGAUAUUUGUCAUUCGGGGUUUUUGGUUGUUGUUGUUUUUUGGGGGAGUGCGGGGGUGCGGGUUGGUUUGUUUCUGUUCCUUUAAUUACAAUCUUCAAUAACAGGGACGAUCGCUCCGGGAAUCUACAGUCUCUUCUUCAAGCAGCAGGAUUUGCAUAUUUUUAAUGCCCUAAUUUCCUUGAUGUAUGUAAAUGCAGCCGGACGUACAGUAAGACUCAAGCUGACGUCAAUGGACGUGACCUCGCUGUUAAACCUUGAACGUGAAGCUGGGAUGGGGAAAACAGACGAGAGAGAGAGGGGGAGAUGCAGCUUUGCAGCUCGAAAACGGCAAAAGCGGCAGAGAGGAUAUAUUACAGCGGCAGCGGAGGCGGGAGCCAGCCAGCAGCCGCAACAGCAUCUUGAGCUGCAGAAGCCGUGAAAAGGCAGCUGGACACGUGUGAAGAGCCUUCCUCAGCUGCAUUGCUCGUCUCCAUCCCCGUUUGCAACCCACCCAAACUGAUCAGCGCUUCUACCCUGUAAAAUAAACGUUAGAACUAUUCCCUCCCUCCCUCCCCAAACAACAGCAAAACAAAGCAAACAAACGCAACGUGCUGUAAAUUAUCCCACCAACAAAAAUGGGACCUAGUUGCUGCUGCUUUCCAGAAGAUAAUAAGCGGGAAUAUACAAAGUCGACUUUCGCUAACCCCGCCCCCCCCCAAAACAGCAAAUAUUAAAAGAUAGACGUGAGUUCAAUGGGUGCAGGUAAAUCGUCAGCGUAAGUGUUCAAUGUGCUUCCUGUGGUACCUGGUUACUGAUACAGUGUUCUGUACAGUGGCUGUAAGGGAACUGCUGCUGACAAUGUCGGUUUGAAAAGAAGAGACAGAAACAGAAGAAUCGCCAGGCUCGUAGCGAUUCACUCGCAUGCCUUGUAAACCUAAUUGCUAUACCCAGGGGUGGCACUGAUCUGCGAGUAAAUCUUGGUCAUAAGCACUUCUCUGGGUUUUCCAUUCAUAUCUCCUUUUUGAAAGGAGAGACUGAAUCUAAGGAUACCCUGGAUUCUGAACGUCUGAAGGUGCCUUAUUAACUAAAACGGAGACAGAAGACAGCAGAUGUGAGAGGGGCUUUCCGAAGCUGCGCUUCCUCUUCUCUCUGACUUCAUCUUUUAUUGCUCCUCUCUCUAUAUACAUAGGCCUGAAGAACCGUUAUGGGCAGGGGGAUUUCUCGAGAUUAGACUUCAGAAUUAUUGGCAGUCAAGUUUUAGAAAAUCAUGGACAUGUUUCCUUAAUAUCUAACUUUUCCUUUUCUCGUGCCAGUGGUAUGUUUCAUGGCAUUUCUGUAGAUUUUGACACGAUCAGCCUUAUAGUAAACCAGAUGAAAUAUGUAAACUGCAAGCUAGCGACUUCUCUCUCUCUCUCUCACACACACACACACCUCUUUGUCUUCUCUCAUAGUUUAUGGUGGAAAGCAGCACCUACGAUCCCCAUGGUAUGGCUGUGCGUGUGAUUGUGGCAGUGCGAUUGAAGUGACGGCCACUGAGAAGGACACGAGUGACCGUCUGUCCUUUGGCUACAGUUGGCGGGAAAUCUGGGGGCAGAGUGCUCGGUGCUCUCAGUCUGCGUCUAUCUUUGCCGCUUCCUUCUCAUCUCCCUGCAGCCACAUUUCCAUACGGGAUACUCAUCUGUGGGUUUUUUUUCUCGUUACUUUGCCCCUCCCCCGCCCGCCUCCCCUCGUCACAAAUACCCAGCCGUGCACACAGACACACACUUCACCCACACACUUCUUGACACCCACACAUUCAAUAAAGCGAUUCACCACCAUAGAGAAAACACGCGUAUCCAUGCACAGAUACAUUCUACAAACACACCCACCCAAAGACAUAUUUACACACACACUCUUCCCCAUCAACACACAGCCUUGCAUACAGACAUUCCUACGAACACACACCCUAUACAAAGGUUCUAACAGCCUUCCUUCACAAACACACCUUUUAAACACACACACACGUUCUCAUUCUCGCAAACGCCCAUGCUUCUACACGGUGAGUCCUCACAGUCUCACUAGUACAUGCCCAUAUCUGUACACACACAAUAAUACCAGACCUUCUUACUUUCUAUGCUCUCCACAGGCUCAACCCCCCCCAACUUUUUAACCCCCCCCCCUUCUAGCUCUCUCUUUGCAAUGGCUCCCACUAAGCUCCAUAAAUCCCUCCUAAAAUCCAUUUACUAAAACUGUCGAUGCUGUCCCCCUUGUUUUGAGUCCAGAGCACUGAGAAACAAAACCAGCCCUCCUUCCAGAAAUCAAUGCGCUGACGAGAGGUCCCUCUACAAGUUUGCAAGUGAAAGAGGUUUUGGUUUCAUUUUGUUUUGACUUGGAGAAAAGUCCCACAUAAUGGCAAUGCCUCCCGAAACAAGACGCAGAAGAAACUGUUCCUCAAAAGUUAACUGGAUGAAAACGCUCUAGAAAACGCAACUUCUUGGGACAAUUUUUGUAAGUUUCCAAAGAAAUGAGUGCUUCCCUCCUACUAUAGGACAAUGUAGCCAUUGCUCUUCUUUAGACUAGACAUUUCUAAUUUGUUCCGUCUGUCAGAAGGGACUAUGAGAGGGUUUGGUGCAAAUUCAUUAUCUCUGGCAACGCAUAACGUAUAGUAGGAACUGAAAAAGACCAUGGCAAUGGAUGAACAAUAGGGCUUCAGUUCAUCAGCAACAAAAGCUUUGGGGAAAUUGGUUGAAUUUCAGAGCACGUCCUCCUCAGCAGAGAGGGCUGGACUAGACCUUGGCCAAACCCCCCCAAAAACUUGCAAAGCCUCACGUACAACACUUCACUUUCUACUCUGGGGCUUAGGAAGCAAUAUGGAAGAAAAAAACUUUUUUUUUUCUAUUUCUUCCGUUUUUCUGGAUAGAAGCUCUUUUUACUUAUUUAUCAACGAACCAUGAAAGAAUUAUACCAUGGAACUAAGCUGCAGUUUCAAAUAAAGGUGAUGAUCUGCAUUUCUGGAGACGUGAAGGAACCCGCUGUCCAUGUUUUAAGGGGGGCUUGACCGUGGAAUCUUUGUUUGCAGCCGGAGAUUCAGCCCUUACAUCUAGAUCGGGGGGUCACAUGUUUCUUAUAAGAAAAAAAAAUUCAGAAGAAGGAUCACAAGGGAUGGCGAUCAUCAAGAAAUGAGUAGAAGAUGGCUUGUGACUAAUGUUGUAGAGAAGAAUGACUGAAAUGACUGUUUGGAAUUAUUCUGGAAUUAGGCUAGAAUGAAGUCUCCUCUGCCAAUCUAAGGGCCUCUUUCCACAAACACACGUGAGAGAAACUUUAUUUAUAUGAAUAGUUCACUUGAGAUCAACUGGGACUAGUCACGAAAAAUGAAGUUUAGAACUGAUUCUUGACACAUGAUGCACAUUUGUCAGGAGGUCACGGUGAAUCAGAAUAAACAACUUCAAGAAAAUGCCAAAUUCAAGAAAAUAAAAGUAGCUUAAUAUGAUUUAAUACCAUUAAAGUGGUUAAGACGAAGUUUCUUAAACUCUUUUAUGGAGGCUGGUUAACAAUGACAUAGAU